rnacentral:rRNA from 1 species
UACGGAGGGGACUAGCGUUGUUCGGAAUUACUGGGCGUAAAGCGCACGUAGGCGGCUCUGUAAGUCAGGGGUGAAAUCCCGGGGCUCAACCUCGGAACUGCCUUUGAUACUGCAAAUCUCGAGUCCGGAAGAGGUGAGUGGAAUUCCUAGUGUAGAGGUGAAAUUCGUAGAUAUUAGGAAGAACACCAGUGGCGAAGGCGGCUCACUGGUCCGGUACUGACGCUGAGGUGCGAAAGCGUGGGGAGCAAACAGG